rnacentral:rRNA from 1 species
AGAUCGAACUAUAGAGUUUGAUCCUGGCUCAGAUUGAACGCUGGCGGCAUGCCUUACACAUGCAAGUCGAACGGUAACAGGUUAAGCUGACGAGUGGCGAACGGGUGAGUAAUAUAUCGGAACGUGCCCAGUCGUGGGGGAUAACGCAGCGAAAGCUGUGCUAAUACCGCAUACGAUCUACG